rnacentral:rRNA from 1 species
AACGAACGCUGGCGGCAUGCCUAACACAUGCAAGUCGAACGAGACCUUCGGGUCUAGUGGCGCACGGGUGCGUAACGCGUGGGAACCUGCCCUUAGGUUCGGAAUAACUCCCCGAAAGGGGUGCUAAUACCGGAUAAUGUCUUCGGACCAAAGAUUUAUCGCCUUUGGAUGGGCCCGCGUUGGAUUAGCUAGUUGGUAGGGUAAAAGCCUACCAAGGCGACGAUCCAUAGCUGGUCUGAGAGGAUGAUCAGCCACACUGGGACUGAGACACGGCCCAGACUCCUACGGGAGGCAGCAGUGGGGAAUAUUGGACAAUGGGCGAAAGCCUGAUCCAGCAAUGCCGCGUGAGUGAUGAAGGCCUGAGGGUUGUAAAGCUCUUUUACCCGGGAUGAUAAUGACAGUACCGAGAGAAUAAGCUCCGGCUAACUCCGUG